rnacentral:rRNA from 1 species
CCUACGGGAGGCAGCAGUAAGGAAUAUUGGACAAUGCUCGCAAGAGUGAUCCAGCCAUGCCGCGUGCAGGAAGACGGCCCUAUGGGUUGUAAACUGCUUUUGAACUAGAGAAAACCCUCCUACGUGUAGGAGGCUGAUAGUAUAGUUAGAAUAAGCAUCGGCUAACUUCGUGCCAGCAGCCGCGGUAAGACGAAGGAUGCAAGCGUUAUCCGGAUUCAUUGGGUUUAAAGGGAGCGUAGGUGGACUGAUAAGUCAGUGGUGAAAUCUCUCGGCUUAACCGAGAAAUUGCCAUUGAUACUGUUGGUCUUGAGUACAGUUGCUGUGGGCGGAAUAUGACAUGUAGUGGUGAAAUACAUAGAGAUGUCAUAGAACACCGAUUGCGAAGGCAGCUCACAAAGCUGUAACUGACACUGAGGCUCGAAAGUGCGGGGAUCAAACAGGAUUAGAUACCCUGGUAGUCCGCACCGUAAACGAUGAUUACUCGCUGCUGGGAGGUAACUUUCAGUGGCUUAGCGAAAGCGAUAAGAAUCCACCUGGGAGUCGCCGGCAACGGUUGAAACUCAAAGAUAGUACGGAGGNGNGAGNGCGACGACGACGACGACGGAGGGAGGAG